AGAGUUUGAUCAUGGCUCAGAACGAACGCUGGCGGCAUGGCUAAGACAUGCAAGUCGUACGGGCCGAAGUAGCAAUAUUUCGGUCAGUGGCGAAAGGGUGAGUAAUGCAUGGAUAACGUACCUUGAACUCGAGAAUAACAGCGCCCGCAAGGGCUUUACGAAAGUGCUGCUAAUACUCGAUGAAGUCACCGGGUCGCAUGGCCUGGUGACCAAAGCCGGGGACCGCAAGGCCUGGCGGUUUGGGAGCGGCCCAUGUCCUAUCAGCUAGUUGGCGAGGUAACGGCUCACCAAGGCGACGACGGGUAGCGGGACUGAGAGGUUGACCCGCCACAUCGGGACUGAGACACUGCCCGGACACCUACGGGUGGCUGCAGUAACGAAUAUUGGGCAAUGGGCGCAAGCCUGACCCAGCAAUGCCGCGUGCAGGAGGAAGUCCUUCGGGAUGUAAACUGCUGUCAGGGGCUAGCAAGCAAAGGGAUCUAAUAGGUCCCGGCGUUGAGCCGCUCCAGAGGAAGCCUCGACUAACUCUGUGCCAGCAGUCGCGGUAAGACAGAGGAGGCAAGCGUUGUUCGGAAUCACUGGGCUUAAAGCGGGUGUAGGCGGCUGCGCAAGUGUCCUGUGAAAUCCCACGGCUCAACCGUGGAACGGCAGGGCAAACUGCGUAGCUUGAGGUCGGUAGAGGUGCCUGGAACUCUAGGUGGAGCGGUGAAAUGCGUAGAUAUCUAGAGGAACGCC
rnacentral:rRNA from 1 species